UACCUUUAGUUGCCAUCAGGUAAUGCGUGGGGACUCUAAAGGAACUGCCUACGCAAGUAGUGAGGAAGGCGGGGAUGACGUCAAAUCAGCACGGCCCUUACGUCCAGGGCUACACACGUGCUACAAUGGCCGAUACAGAGGGCAGCUACCUGGUGACAGGAUGCAAAUCUCCAAAGUCGGUCUCAGUUCGGAUCGGAGUCUGCAACCCGACUCCGUGAAGUUGGAUUCGCUAGUAAUCGCGCAUCAGCCAUGGCGCGGUGAAUACGUUCCCGGGCCUU
rnacentral:rRNA from 1 species